AAGACCCCCGAAACCAGACGAGCUACCUAAGAACAGCUAAAAGAGCACACCCGUCUAUGUAGCAAAAUAGUGGGAAGAUUUAUAGGUAGAGGCGACAAACCUACCGAGCCUGGUGAUAGCUGGUUGUCCAAGAUAGAAUCUUAGUU
rnacentral:rRNA from 1 species